rnacentral:lncRNA from 1 species
AACAAGAGCACAGAACCAGACCACAUCCUUGAGGACUGGGGUGUAUUUUCCCCCAGUCAGGAGGAGUUUUCCUACCAUCAAUCAUCCUAAAAGAGGUUAAAGCAGAGAGACGGUGUGAGGAGGGUGGCUGGUGUGAAAGUUGGGUAGAGGGGAAACGUCUCCUUCUGGGAAGAGGCAUUUGCUGCGUGAAGAGGACUGAGAAUCCUAGAGUGGUUCAAAUGGUGGGGUGUGAGCUGCUCCUGGCCAGAGGAGACCAGCUGAAAGUAAGGCAAAGAAUGCGCCUUUAAGUGCACAGGUGUGAGCAUAAGUCGGACAGUGGGUGUUAGGAAUUCUCCGACUGAAAGCCCUCUUCUUUUAUCCAUGAUGCAUCCGUAAAGCCUAAGCAAGAAUUAUUAUGGGCUCAGGGGUGUUGUGGAUCACUAAGGAAGGCCUGGUGCAUGCAUUUUAGGAAGGAAUGAUACAAGUGAGAGGAGUUCCUCCUCCCCGGAGCCUGGAGAAGAGAGUGAGCGUGCGGUAAGGAGGGGGCAGGUGGGGAGCCACAGAGGUGGGCAAUGCAGGAGCACCAGGCGGAGAAGCUGUCUUGUCAGGAAGGCAGAAGCAGCCUGAGGAUCAAACGAAGAGACUGAGCAGAAGAAACUGAGGAGUCUGUGCCUGAACAGUCACCUCUGAAAUCUAUCCACCAUUCUCUUAGGAAGUGCAAACCAGCCAUGCGAAAAUAUCACAUAGAGGUCCUGAGCAUCCAUCAGCAGCAACCACUAGACUUGUGAGUGGAUGAGCCUUCAGAUGAGCACAGACCCAGCCUUCAAGUCUUCCAGCUGAGGCCUCAGACAUCAUGGAGGAGAGACAAGCCAUCCACAUCUGAAUGCCUGACCCACAAAUCCAUGAGCAGAAUAAAUGGUUGUUUUGAUAUAAUUUGUAACAAAGAUAUAGUAACUGGAACACUCAAUUUCCUCAUCUGGAAAAAUAGAAUAAGAACAGUAUUUGGAGGGUUGUUUUGAGGAUUAAAUGAGGCAUGUAAAGCAUUUGGUAUAGUGGCAGGCACACUGCAGAUAACAAAUAAAUGGAAAUUACUACGACCAUGUUAACAGACUGUCGUCUCUGCUACAGCCCAACAUCAGUUUGCCUCCUCUUUCCAACUCCCUGGUAGAAAAGUCAAGCCCCAUUCUGAAGCUGCACCCCUAGAAAUAUUCCAGAACUAAAGCAGCCUCUCAUUUAUGUGGAGCUAGACUAGCUAGCAGUCUAUAUCCCUAAUCCCUUCCAGUAAACUUGAACUCUGAAGGUAGGAAUUAACAGAGAUGAAGGGAGUGGAGGGAACAGUCAAGAGUGGACAAAGUAGACAAAAACUCCUUUGCGAUGAACCUGCUCUCUAAGUUUCUUCUGUUGCCACUUAGG